rnacentral:rRNA from 1 species
CCUGUCGAAAGGCAAGUUAAUACCGCAUGUGCUAACCUGUGAAAACUUGUUAGUAAAGCCUUCGGGUGCUUGGAGACGGGCUUGCGUCUGAUUAGCUAGUUGGUUGGGGUAACGGCCUACCAAGGCGAUGAUCAGUAGCUGGUCUGAGAGGACGACCAGCCAGACAGGGACUGAGACACGGCCCUGACUCCUACGGGAGGCAGCAGCAAGGAAUUUUGCGCAAUGGGCGAAAGCCUGACGCAGCGACGCCGCGUGAGGGAUGAAGGCCUUCGGGUUGUAAACCUCUUUUCCUGAGGAAGAAUUAUGACGGUACUCAGGGAAUAAGUCUUGGCUAACUACGUGCCAGCAGCCGCGGUAAUACGUAGGAGGCAAACGUUAUUCGGAUUUACUGGGCGUAAAGCGGGUGUAGACGGCUUUUUAAGUCGGUUGUGAAAUCUCUUGACUUAAUU